rnacentral:rRNA from 1 species
AUGAACGCUAGCGACAGGCUUAACACAUGCAAGUCGAGGGGCAGCACAGGUAGCAAUACCGGGUGGCGACCGGCGCACGGGUGAGUAACGCGUAUGCAACUUACCUAUCAGAGGGGGAUAACCCGGCGAAAGUCGGACUAAUACCGCAUGAAGCAGGGGUCCCGCAUGGGGAUAUUUGCUAAAGAUUCAUCGCUGAUAGAUAGGCAUGCGUUCCAUUAGGCAGUUGGCGGGGUAACGGCCCACCAAACCGACGAUGGAUAGGGGUUCUGAGAGGAAGGUCCCCCACAUUGGUACUGAGACACGGACCAAACUCCUACGGGAGGCAGCAGUGAGGAAUAUUGGUCAAUGGCCGAGAGGCUGAACCAGCCAAGUCGCGUGAGGGAUGAAGGUUCUAUGGAUCGUAAACCUCUUUUAUAAGGGAAUAAAGUGCGGGACGUGUCCCGUUUUGUAUGUACCUUAUGAAUAAGGAUCGGCUAACUCCGUG